GAUGAAGAACCGCAGCGAAAUGCGAUAAGUAAUGUGAAUUGCAGAAUUCAGUGAAUCAUCGAAUCUUUGAACGCACAUUGCGCCCCUUGGUAUUCCGAGGGGCAUGCCUGUUCGAGCGUCAUUAUAACCCCUCAAGCUCAGCUUGGUGUUGGGGCCUGCUGCACUGGCAGCCCUUAAAAUCAGUGGCGGCGCCAUCUGGCUCUAAGCGUAGUAAUUCUUCUCGCUAUGGAGUCCUGGUGGAUGCUUGCCAUCAACCCCCAAUUUUUCUAUGGUUGACCUCGGAUCAGGUAGGGAUACCCGCUGAACUUAAGCAUAUCAAUAAGCGGAGGA
rnacentral:misc_RNA from 1 species